rnacentral:rRNA from 1 species
AUUGAACGCUGGCGGCAUGCUUUACACAUGCAAGUCGAACGGUAACAGGGAGCUUGCUCCGCUGACGAGUGGCGAACGGGUGAGUAAUAUAUCGGAACGUGCCCAGGAGUGGGGGAUAACGUAGCGAAAGUUACGCUAAUACCGCAUACGAUCCAAGGAUGAAAGCAGGGGACCUUUGGGCCUUGUGCUCCUGGAGCGGCCGAUAUCAGAUGAGCUAGUUGGUGAGGUAAAGGCUCACCAAGGCGACGAUCAGUAGCUGGUCUGAGAGGACGACCAGCCACACUGGAACUGAGACACGGUCCAGACUCCUACGGGAGGCAGCAGUGGGGAAUUUUGGACAAUGGGGGCAACCCUGAUCCAGCAAUGCCGCGUGAGUGAAGAAGGCCUUCGGGUUGUAAAGCUCUUUUGUCAGGGAAGAAAAGGGUACGGCUAAUAUCCGUGCCUCAUGACGGUACCUGAAGAAUAAGCACCGGCUAACUACGUGCCAGCCGCCGCGGUAA